rnacentral:ncRNA from 1 species
CACCGCUUGGUGAUGAUUUUACCGAUAGGACACGACUUAGUAUCGCGGGCGCUAUCACGCGCACGCGCAGAAAGGCCGUGAGGUAACAAGGAG